rnacentral:ncRNA from 1 species
AUGCUUAUCUAAAAAAUUAAGCCAUACAUGCGUAAGUGUAAACUUUUUUGUAUUGUGAAACUAUGAAUGGCUCAUUAAAUCAAAAUAGUUUAUUUGAUAGGUACCUUACUACUCGAAUAAUUGUAGUAAUUAUAGAGCUAAUAUAUAUAAAGAGUCCCAAACUCUGGAAGAGACACUUACUAGAUUCAAGGCUGAUGCAAACUUGUCUAUAUUCUUAGUGAUUCAUGCUAACUUGUCAAAUUGUGCAGCUCUCGUGUUGGCAAUGCUUCAAUCAAAUUUUUGCCCUAUCAAAUUUCAAUGGUAGAAUAAAGGCCUACUAUGGUAGUGAUGGGUAAUGUAGAAUUAGGGUUUUAUUCUUGAGAGGGAGCUUGAGACAAGAUUACCAUAUCUAAGGAAGGCAAUAAGUGUGUAAAUUAUAUUGGGAGCUAGUAACAAUAAAUAAUAAUACUAAGCUUUUAAAAUUGGAGUAAAACUUGAGUUUUAGGGCCUUGGGUCUUUAAACAAAGGGAUGGAGCCAAACUCCCGAGCAU